rfam:Otolemur garnettii contig076219, whole genome shotgun sequence.
GCUGGGUGCAGUGGUCUACACCUGUAGCCUCAGAUACUAGAAAGGCGGAGACAGAAGGAUUAUAGGGGCCCAUGAGUUCCAGGCUGUCAUGUGUUAAGUGUGUCCACACAUAGGGUGUCCACACUAAGUCCAGAAUCAAUAUGGUGAUCAUCAGGUUGCCUACGGAGAGAUGAACCAGCCCAGGUUGGAAAUGGAGCAGGUCAAAACUCUUGUGCUAACCAGUAAUGAGACUGAGCCUGUGACUAGCCACUGCACUUCCACCUGGGCAUCAAACCAAGACACCAUCACUU